rnacentral:rRNA from 1 species
UACGAAGGGUGCAAGCGUUACUCGGAAUUACUGGGCGUAAAGCGUGCGUAGGUGGUUUGUUAAGUCUGUUGUGAAAGCCCCGGGCUCAACCUGGGAAUGGCAAUGGAUACUGGCAAGCUAGAGUGCGGUAGAGGGUAGUGGAAUUCCCGGUGUAGUGGUGGAAUGCGUAGAUAUCGGGAGGAACACCAGUGGCGAAGGCGGUUGCCUGGAGCUUUGCUGACACUGAGGCGCGAAAGCGUGGGGAGCGAUCCGG